UACAGAGGAUGCAAGCGUUAUCCGGAAUGAUUGGGCGUAAAGCGUCUGUAGGUGGCUUUUUAAGUCCGCCGUCAAAUCCCAGGGCUCAACUCUGGACAGGCGGUGGAAACUACCAAGCUGGAGUACGGUAGGGGCAGAGGGAAUUUCCGGUGGAGUGGUGAAAUGCGUAGAUAUCCGGAGGAACACCAGUGGCGAAGGCGGCCUUCUGGGAUGAUCCUGACGCUCAGACACGAAAGCUAGGGGAGCGAACGGG
rnacentral:rRNA from 1 species